UUCACAUUUAAAUCCAAAGCAUUUUUGGACGUUCUGUAUACCCCGAUCCUAAUCCGAAAAUAUUCUCCAAACAGUCUGGCUAUCUUAUUCACUCCCGCCAACAGUAAAAGCGACCGCCAUUCAAAAAAGAAACAACAACAGUUCAAUCGACGUCGUCGUAAUUUAUUAUUAACAGCAUCAAAACCGCUUUAACUUGACAGUCUUUUUUCGGCACGUUUCCAGACCACAUCUGCCGUCGCUGGCUGGCACCGUGCCAGGUUCGCCAAUAAUCCAGGAAAAAAAUAUCACUAACCUAAACAAACCGAAAAAAAAACAUAAAAAUAGAAAAAGGACGUCGCACAUUAUCCCGUUACGUUAGUUCGGUGCAGUACUAGUACUAUAUCACUGGAAACAUGAGUUUCACCAGGUUGUUAAUGAGAAAUUUCACGGUUUUUCUGUUGGUCGUACUGUUGGUGGUCGUGCAGUUCGGUGACCCGUUGUCGGCCCUACCGGUGGAGAAAACCCUGGGAACUACAGUGAUUAAAGUGGGAAACAAGACGGAAACCGGGUGCCUGUACGGGUUCGAGUUGGUGAAUGGGACUUGCAGGGAGAUAUUUUGACCUUAUAGAUAAAGACCGCCAAAGACACCGAGAAGGAUAAUAUGGCAUUACGAGUGAAGUGAUCGCUUUUUCGUGCAACAUUGUAAAUAGUAAUUUAAUUAUUAUUUAUUAUAGCGUAGUGACGUUAAUUUAUAAUUUUAUCUGUUAAGGAUAAAUACGUUGUACAAUGUCGUUUCGUUACUUAAUUUUUUUUUAUUAUAACAAUUUUUUUUUUUUUUUUGGUUUAUUUUAAGUGUAUUAACAUUACGAUAGCAAAAAGGGUUUUGGGCAAAAAAGGACUGUAAAUAAUAUUAAUGAAACGUAUAUAAUAAGGUAUGUAUACAAAAAUGUGUGUUCGUAUAUAUUGUAUUUUAAACUGUUUUUAUUAAAUUUUGUUUAAGAGUU